rnacentral:rRNA from 1 species
UACGGAGAGGACUAGCGUUGUUCGGAAUUACUGGGCGUAAAGCGCGCGUAGGCGGCUUUGUAAGUUAGAGGUGAAAGCCCGGAGCUCAACUCCGGAACUGCCUUUAAGACUGCAUCGCUUGAAUCCAGGAGAGGUGAGUGGAAUUCCGAGUGUAGAGGUGAAAUUCGUAGAUAUUCGGAAGAACACCAGUGGCGAAGGCGGCUCACUGGACUGGUAUUGACGCUGAGGUGCGAAAGCGUGGGGAGCAAACAGG